rnacentral:lncRNA from 1 species
AUGUUGUCGUUAGGACACAGUGAUUAUCAAUCUAAUUCUGAUUUCAAUAAAAAAUAAAAAUAUAUAAAAAGUAGCGAGUCGGAUCGAAUCCACAGAGAAGAUAGGAUUUUGAUUUAAAAUUUUUGAUUUUAUAAAAAUAAAAUAAAAUUUUGAAGAAUGCAAUUUAAGUCGAAAAUAAAAAUUAAAAGUAUAAAAAAUAAAUCAGAUACUAAGUCUACUAUUUAGAUCCUA